UACGAAGGGGGCUAGCGUUGCUCGGAAUGACUGGGCGUAAAGGGCGCGUAGGCGGCGGCUACAGUCGGAUGUGAAAUUCCUGGGCUUAACCUGGGGGCUGCAUUCGAUACGUGGUGGCUAGAGUGGGGAAGAGGGUCGUGGAAUUCCCAGUGUAGAGGUGAAAUUCGUAGAUAUUCGCAAGAACACCAGUGGCGAAGGCGGCUCACUGGCCCGGUACUGACGCUGAGGUGCGAAAGCGUGGGGAGCAAACAGGGAUUAAGAAACCCCGGAUAGU
rnacentral:rRNA from 1 species